AAACCAUGAUUAGGACAUUUUCUCAGUAGCACCUGGAAACGCUCCCACGCUUCAUAAAAGGCUUCAUCGGCACCUUGUCAGAUUGUUGAUAUUUCGAUCUUUGCAUUC